rnacentral:rRNA from 1 species
UACGGAGGGUGCAAGCGUUAUCCGGAUUCACUGGGUUUAAAGGGUGCGUAGGUGGGCAGGUAAGUCAGUGGUGAAAUCUCCGGGCUUAACCCGGAAACUGCCAUUGAUACUAUCUGUCUUGAAUAUCGUGGAGGUGAGCGGAAUAUGUCAUGUAGCGGUGAAAUGCUUAGAUAUGACAUAGAACACCAAUUGCGAAGGCAGCUCACUACGCGAAUAUUGACACUGAGGCACGAAAGCGUGGGGAUCAAAACAGG